CCUACGGGCGGCAGCAGUGGGGAAUAUUGGACAAUGGGCGAAAGCCUGAUCCAGCCAUGCCGCGUGUGGGAAGAAGGCCUUCGGGUUGUAAAGCACUUUCAGUGGGGAAGAAAGCCUUGGGGCUAAUACCCUCGAGGAAGGACAUCACCCACAGAAGAAGCACCGGCUAACUCCGUGCCAGCAGCCGCGGUAAUACGGAGGGUGCGAGCGUUAAUCGGAAUUACUGGGCGUAAAGCGCGCGUAGGCGGUCUGAUAAGCCGGUUGUGAAAGCCCCGGGCUCAACCUGGGAACGGCAUCCGGAACUGUCAGGCUAGAGUGCAGGAGAGGAAGGUAGAAUUCCCGGUGUAGCGGUGAAAUGCGUAGAGAUCGGGAGGAAUACCAGUGGCGAAGGCGGCCUUCUGGACUGACACUGACGCUGAGGUGCGAAAGCGUGGGUAGCAAACAGGAUUAGAUACCCCUGUAGUC
rnacentral:rRNA from 1 species